rnacentral:lncRNA from 1 species
AUGAGUCAGAGUCAGAGGGAUGAAGUGUGAGAAAGAUUUAACCAGACAUUGCAGGCUUGGAAGAUGGAAGAAGGGGGCCACUGGCCAAAGAAUGCAGGCAGCCGGAAAAAGUAAGAGAGUGGAUUCUCCCCUCUAGAACCUCUAGAAAGGAACUCAGCCCUGCUGACAUCUUGAGGUUCAUCCAGUGAGACUCAUUUUGAACUUCUGACCUCCAAAACUGAAGGUGAGCAAUUAAUUGCAUAGAAGACCCAGGUCUUCCCAGAGGCUUUCUCGAAGGUCCUUGUUGAAGGCCUUGGAACAAGUAUUCGUAUUUGCCCCUUCCAUUUCAGGCAAAAUGGAAGCUCCCGCAGAUGGAGAAUCCACUAUCCUCCAUGGAGACAAACACUGUCAUGGACAAGCACCUGGACUAUCUCCUCCCGCAAAGAGAUAUGGGCUGGUGGGAAAGCUGCUGACUAGCCAAGGUCACAAGCUCUCUCCUCUCUGUAAGUGUCUCAAGGCCAAAGAUGGGCUGGUGGGAAAGCUCCAACCAGCAAAGCCAUAUGCUCCCCCUCCCCUCCCUAAAACCCCAAAUAAAAUCCUUCCUUUUAGCUUUUCGGGGAGUUUGGGAUUUCAGUGUUAGCUGCCCUCUCUCCUUGCUCAGCACUGUGCAAAAAUAAAAUUCCUACUUUCUUCCA